UCCCUGGUAGCUCAGAUGGUAAAAAGUCUGCCUGCAAUGCAGGAAACCUAGGUUCAAUCCCUGGAUAGGGAA
rnacentral:tRNA from 1 species